rnacentral:lncRNA from 1 species
UUCCUUGAGAGGGAGAACCAUUAGUUAUCAAAGAUUCACAUAGUUCUGUUGUAAUUAAACUUCUAUAUUAAAAGUGGUAAGAAAAGUAACUAAAGACCAACAUUAAAUCUGUUUUUAAAAAAAGCAAGAAGCAAUGGCUGGCUGAUGGUUAAAUGUGAAUUCAUAUUUUUAUUAGGAAUGUUAAUGAAAGAAUGUUAUUAUAAUCUGCAUGGCCUAUUUUAAAGCUUAAGCAUGUUACACAUUAUUUUAUCAAAGAUUGUUAAAAUAAUAUUAAUAGCUUUAGACUUU